rnacentral:tRNA from 2 species
GUUCUUCUAGUUAAGGAAUAACGUUGGUUUUUCAAGCCAGUGUUCUUGGUUAGAGUCCAAGGGAGAACC